UUUGCUAUUAUACUGAUAUUUUUUAAUCAAUAUAUUGGCAUAGAAUCAGUUGCCGUAAGGUUUACAAAUGUUUAUUGUAAAUCUAGUAAUCUGAGCAGAUUUGUGGUUAAUGUUUGCCGUAUACGUGCAGUAAAAAGGAAUAUGUACGUCUUCAACUAUGAUGCUACUUUGCUGUAUGAAUUAUAUAAUGUGAAGGUUAAUGUUCAAAUGGUCAAACGGGCAAAUGGCUAUAAACCGUGGCUAUACAAUAUUACUGUUGACGCCUGCGAAUUUCAAAGACGACGCAACAAUCCAAUGAUUAAAAUGGUAUUUAACAUUUUUAAAAACUAUUCGAACCUUAAUCACCCUUGCCCAUAUAGGGAUUCUGUACAUUUAUAUGGCUUAUAUCUUAAGCCACAAUUAAUUCCCAUUCCGUUGCCCACCGGCGAGUAUGGGUUACUUACAACAUGGAAUUUUGAUAACAAAACUAUUUCGACUGUGAAUUUAUAUUUCGAAUUCAAAGAAGAUGCAAUUUAAAUUAUUAUGGAAAUCUGUAUUACAAAAAAUAU